UUUGACUACAAUUUUUCAAGGGGUUUCUAUCUGUUUGCUUUUGUUUCUAAUGUGAAACUGUUCAAAAUGUCUGCAAGAAACUACAGGAUGCAAAACAACUUUUCGAAAUUUCCACUUUGAAAAGAUCAUAUAAUGAAGGUCCACUGAAGGUUUUUAUUCGGAAUCUUGUAUACCUCAUGUUGAAUUGGCCUCAAGUUGUAGUUUACACCUGCAAGGUCUGUAGCCAGUAAGCUUAUUGGAGGUCAUAUGCUUUCUGUAAUCAAGACCUUGGACUGGGAAGGUCCAGAGAAGGAUCCCAAAAUGCUUUAACACUUAACAGGAGGAGUGAAAUAUCAGGGGAAAAAAAAUUCCAAGAAUAUAAAAGGAUGGAAAAUUAAUUUAGAUCAUGCAGACACAAGCAUGUCAAAGGUAAGAACUUCAAAAUACAGGUAUGGAAACAAAAAACAUCAUUUCUACAGUAUCGCAGAAGUGUAUAAGUUUGAAUUAUUGAAUGAAUUUGCAGAAAAAAUCAGUUUCUUCUGAAUUGAUUGGGACGAUGAUAUAGCCUGGAGAAAGGAUGUGAGUUAUUGGUGAAAUUUUUUGAGUGUGCACCCGA
rnacentral:lncRNA from 1 species